rnacentral:lncRNA from 1 species
UACCUCGACCACACUUACUUCGGUUCUCGACUGAGCACAUUCUCCGGUCGACCAUGAACAAGCGCAUUCUCCUUUUGCUUGCUGUGUCUAUGCUACUGGUGACGGUGGCUAGAGCAAAGAAUGGCCUUGGAGCAAGAUCAGACAUUGAAGAAAUAAAGGAUGGCCUUGAAGCAAAAUCAGACAUUGAAGAAAGAAAGAAUGGAAUACGAUCAUUCGUUGCAGUAAGAAAUAUUGGCGUUGGACCAAGAAAUAAUGGCCUUUGAGCAAAGAUUUGGCCCACCACGUUCAAAGGGGAAGUAUAUACUUCCCUGAACGAAGGUGAUGAUGGUGAUAUGGGAUGGUGGAAGUCAAUAAUAUCACAGCAAACCAAA